rnacentral:miRNA from 1 species
GAGGGAGAAAUGAGAAAU